rnacentral:rRNA from 1 species
UACGUAGGGUGCUAAGCGUUGUCCGGAAUUAUUGGGCGUAAAGAGCUCGUAGGCGGUUUGUCGCGUCUGCUGUGAAAACCCGAGGCUCAACCUCGGGCCUGCAGUGGGUACGGGCAGACUAGAGUGCGGUAGGGGAGAUUGGAAUUCCUGGUGUAGCGGUGGAAUGCGCAGAUAUCAGGAGGAACACCGGUGGCGAAGGCGGGUCUCUGGGCAGUAACUGACGCUGAGGAGCGAAAGCGUGGGGAGCGAACAGG